CUGUGCCUGGCCUAAAAAAAUUUUUUUUAUAGGGACAGUGUCUUGCUAUGUUGCCCAGGCCGGUCUCGAACUCCUGGCCUCAAACAAUCUUCCCAUCUUGGCCUCCCAUACAUCUUCCAUUCAUUUUAUAUGGUGCUACUUGACACCACUACAGCAGAGUGGGGGUGGGAGUUCCUCCUCAUUAAUGCCAGGAGGGGUGGAAGUUCUCCAGUCAGCCUCUGAUGAAAGCUGAUGGGCAGGGUGGGAGACUUCUCUUAUUUCUGGGUGGAAGUGGGACUUGUGGUUCCCCACCUGCUCUGCUGAUACCUUCCUGGCUGGGAGAGGUAGAAGUGCCUCACUGGUGUUCCCCAUGUGUCUUCCUUUGACAUCAUGGGAAAGUGUUCCCAGGCAGUGGCGACAGUCCCAACGCUCCUUGCUGCCUCCCCUGACAGCACCCGAUGGGGGAGAAGGAGGAGCACAUCGUUACUGUCAGAUGGGAGUAGAAAUGCACACUCCUCAUGUGAUGGCCACUUGAACCACAGGGAGAGGCCUCAUGACCACCUGAUGGGAAUGGAAGUCCCUACUCUCUAUUCCGCCUUCUCUGAUGCCACCUCAUGGCAUUGUGGGAACAUCCAUGAGGAAAUGCAGGUUGCACACUUGGCUCAGGGCCCACCAUAUGCUGGGGGCUGAGUCCAUGCAUGGUAGCCAUGAUGGUUUGAGCUAAUGCCAGAAGCC
rnacentral:lncRNA from 1 species